GACGAACGCUGGCGGCGCGCUUAACACAUGCAAGUCGAACGGAAGGGCCUGCUUUCCCUUGUGGAUUGCGGGUACUCGAGUGGCGAACGGGUGAGUAACACGUGCGUGAUCUGCCCCCAACUUGGGUAUAAGCCUGGGAAACUGGGUCUAAUUCCCGAUAGUACUGCAGGGUGGUGCCUGUGGUGGAAAACGAUUUUCUAGUGGUUGGUGAUGAGCUCGCGGCCUAUCAGCUUGGUGGUGGGGUAAUGGCCUACCAAGGCGGCGACGGGAAGCCGGGCUGAGAGGGUGGCCGGCGAGAUUGGGACGGAGAUACGGCCCAGACUCCUGCGGGAGGCAGCAGCGGGGAAUAUGGGACGAUGGGCGAAAGCCUGAUGCAGCGACGCGGUGUGGGGGAUGACGGCCUUCGGGUUGUGAACUCCUUUCGAAAGCGAGGAAGCCAAGUGGUUGGAAGGGUGGUGACGGUAGUGGUAGAAGAAGCACCGGCUAACUACGUG
rnacentral:rRNA from 1 species